rnacentral:tRNA from 1 species
GGACAAGUGAUCGAGCGGUUGAUGGUAUCAGUCUUGAAAACUGAAAUGCUUACAGCAUCGUGGGUUCGAAUCCCACCUUGUCCA